UACGUAGGGUCCAAGCGUUAUCCGGAAUCACUGGGCGUAAAGCGUGUGUAGGCGGCGUGUUAAGUGCGAUGCGAAAUCUUGUGGCUCAACCAUAUAGACUGUAUCGCAUACUGGCAUGCUAGAGGAUGGCAGAGGCAAGUGGAAUUGGUAGUGUAGCAGUGAAAUGCGUAGAUAUUACCAGGAACACCAAUGGCGAAGGCAGCUUGCUGGGCCAUAUCUGACGCUGAGACACGAAAGCGUGGGGAGCGAACAGG
rnacentral:rRNA from 1 species